AAAGAGUGUUUCGCACAACUGCCAUAACCUUCACAAAGAAUUAUUCAAAAGCGAUGUUUUAAUAAAAGAAUCGCCGAAGUCGCUUUCACUGGCCGUCGACUUUUUCAAUUCGAAACGUGAUCUCAAAGAGAAAUAAACCAAUCCAAUAAGACUCUGAAAAUUUAAAACGUUCCUUAUCGAAAACCGACGCACUUAUCGGAC